rnacentral:rRNA from 1 species
GGCCGCGGGAACUCCUUUAAGGUCUAACCAUGCAAGUCGAGCGGGGAAACCCCCCUUGCUACUUUACCUAGCGGCGGACGGGUGAGUAAUGCUUAGGAAUCUGCCUAUUAGUGGGGGACAACAUCUCGAAAGGGAUGCUAAUACCGCAUACGUCCUACGGGAGAAAGCAGGGGAUCUUCGGACCUUGCGCUAAUAGAUGAGCCUAAGUCGGAUUAGCUAGUUGGUGGGGUAAAGGCCUACCAAGGCGACGAUCUGUAGCGGGUCUGAGAGGAUGAUCCGCCACACUGGGACUGAGACACGGCCCAGACUCCUACGGGAGGCAGCAGUGGGGAAUAUUGGACAAUGGGGGGAACCCUGAUCCAGCCAUGCCGCGUGUGUGAAGAAGGCCUUUUGGUUGUAAAGCACUUUAAGCGAGGAGGAGGCUACUCUAGUUAAUACCUAGGGAUAGUGGACGUUACUCGCAGAAUAAGCACCGGCUAACUCUGUGCCAGCAGCCGCGGUAAUACAGAGGGUGCAAGCGUUAAUCGGAUUUACUGGGCGUAAAGCGCGCGUAGGUGGCCAAUUAAGUCAAAUGUGAAAUCCCCGAGCUUAACUUGGGAAUUGCAUUCGAUACUGGUUGGCUAGAGUAUGGGAGAGGAUGGUAGAAUUCCAGGUG